GCAUCUUGUAAGAGCGUGGUCUGUGCUUUGUGAUUGGGAUGAUUGCAGUUUUACUUCUGGAAUGAGCAAUUUUAGAUAGCGUCAUGAUGGCGUGCCCUGUUAGCGUCAUGGUUGGCGUGCCCUGUGUUAGCGUCUUGAUUGGCGUGCCCUGUGUUAGCGUCAUGAUUGGCGUGCCCUGUGUUAACACGAUAUGUUUUAUUUAUUCGUGUGCUGUGAUUUCAACUCCAGCAUUGGUCAGAGGAGACUCGCAAGCAGCAAGGAAAGUAGGCUCCUCUUCAUCAGCUAGAAGUUUGACAAAGGAGUCCACAGGGAGAUUACUUGGUAUGUGGUGGAAGUUAUGUGAUGAUACC
rnacentral:misc_RNA from 1 species